rnacentral:rRNA from 1 species
UUCUUGGUUCAUUUAGAGGAAGUAAAAGUCGUAACAAGGUCUCCGUUGGUGAACCAGCGGAGGGAUCAUUACCGAGUUUACAACUCCCAAACCCUUAUGUGAACCGUACCUAUCGUUGCUUCGGCGGGAACGCCCCGGCGCCCUGCGCCCGGAUCCAGGCGCCCGCCGGAGACCCCAAACUCUUGUGUUUUUUUCAGUAUUCUCUGAGUGGCAAACGCAAAAAUAAAUCAAAACUUUUAACAACGGAUCUCUUGGCUCUGGCAUCGAUGAAGAACGCAGCGAAAUGCGAUAAGUAAUGUGAAUUGCAGAAUUCAGUGAAUCAUCGAAUCUUUGAACGCACAUUGCGCCCGUUAGCAUUCUAGCGGGCAUGCCUGUCCGAGCGUCAUUUCAACCCUCAGGGUCCCCGUUCCGGCGGGGAACCUGGUGUUGGGGAUCGGCCCGCCCCGUGCGGCGCCGUCCCCCAAAUUCAGUGGCGGUCUCGCUGCAGCCUCCCCUGCGUAGUAGUUACAACCUCGCAUCGGAGCUCAGCGCGGCCACGCCGUAAAACCCCCGACUUUCUGAACGUUGACCUCGGAUCAGGUAGGAAUACCCGCUGAACUUAAGCAUAUCAAUAAACCGGAGGAAA